rnacentral:rRNA from 1 species
GACGAACGCUGGCGGCGUGCCUAAUACAUGCAAGUUGAGCGAUGAAGCUUGGUGCUUGCACCAAUUUGAAGAGCAGCGAACGGGUGAGUAACGCGUGGGGAAUCUGCCUUUGAGCGGGGGACAACAUUUGGAAACGAAUGCUAAUACCGCAUAACAACUUUAAACAUAAGUUUUAAGUUUGAAAGAUGCAAUUGCAUCACUCAAAGAUGAUCCCGCGUUGUAUUAGCUAGUUGGUGAGGUAAAGGCUCACCAAGGCGAUGAUACAUAGCCGACCUGAGAGGGUGAUCGGCCACAUUGGGACUGAGACACGGCCCAAACUCCUACGGGUGGCAGCAGUAGGGAAUCUUCGGCAAUGGACGAAAGUCUGACCGAGCAACGCCGCGUGAGUGAAGAAGGUUUUCGGAUCGUAAAACUCUGUUGGUAGAGAAGAACGUUGGUGAGAGUGGAAAGCUCAUCAAGUGACGGUAACUACCCAGAAAGGGACGGCUAACUACGUG